AGUGAACGCUGGCGGUAGGCCUAACGCAUGCAAGUCGAACGGCAGCACAGUAAGAGCUUGCUCUUACGGGUGGCGAGUGGCGGACGGGUGAGGAAUACAUCGGAAUCUACUUUUUCGUGGGGGAUAACGUAGGGAAACUUACGCUAAUACCGCAUACGACCUACGGGUGAAAGUAGGGGAUCUUCGGACCUUGCGCGAUUGAAUGAGCCGAUGUCGGAUUAGCUAGUUGGCGGGGUAAAGGCCCACCAAGGCGACGAUCCGUAGCUGGUCUGAGAGGAUGAUCAGCCACACUGGAACUGAGACACGGUCCAGACUCCUACGGGAGGCAGCAGUGGGGAAUAUUGGACAAUGGGCGCAAGCCUGAUCCAGCCAUACCGCGUGGGUGAAGAAGGCCUUCGGGUUGUAAAGCCCUUUUGUUGGGAAAGAAAAGCAGCAGGUUAAUACCCCGCUGUUCUGACGGUACCCAAAGAAUAAGCACCGGCUAACUUCGUG
rnacentral:rRNA from 1 species